rnacentral:rRNA from 1 species
UACGAAGGGGGCUAGCGUUGCUCGGAAUCACUGGGCGUAAAGCGCACGUAGGCGGAUUGCUAAGUCAGGGGUGAAAUCCUGGAGCUCAACUCCAGAACUGCCCUUGAUACUGGCGGUCUCGAGUCCGGGAGAGGUGAGUGGAACUGCGAGUGUAGAGGUGAAAUUCGUAGAUAUUCGCAAGAACACCAGUGGCGAAGGCGGCUCACUGGCCCGGUACUGACGCUGAGACGCGAAAGCGUGGGGAGCGAACAGG